rnacentral:rRNA from 1 species
UACGUAGAGUGCAAGCGUUGUCCGGAAUUAUUGGGCGUAAAGAGCUCGUAGGCGGUCUGUUGCGUCGGCUGUGAAAACCCGGGGCUCAACUCCGGGCCUGCAGCCGAUACGGGCAGACUAGAGUUCGGCAGGGGAGACUGGAAUUCCUGGUGUAGCGGUGAAAUGCGCAGAUAUCAGGAGGAACACCGGUGGCGAAGGCGGGUCUCUGGGCCGAUACUGACGCUGAGGAGCGAAAGCGUGGGGAGCGAACAGG